rnacentral:rRNA from 1 species
UACGGGGGGGGCAAGCGUUGUUCGGAAUUACUGGGCGUAAAGGGCGUGUAGGCGGCCAACUAAGUCCGACGUGAAAUCCCCAGGCUUAACCUGGGGACUGCGUCGGAUACUGGAUGGCUUGAAUCCGGGAGAGGGAUGCAGAAUUCCAGGUGUAGCGGUGAAAUGCGUAGAUAUCUGGAGGAAUACCUGUGGCGAAGGCGGCAUCCUGGACCGGCAUUGACGCUGAAGCGCGAAAGCGUGGGGAGCAAACAGG